GCCUCUGUAGCUCAGUUCGUUAGCGUGGUGCUCCGGAAUUGCAGGGCCGUAGGUUCAAUGCCUACCAGAGGAC
rnacentral:tRNA from 1 species